CUAGCCUACGGGAGGCAGCAGUGAGGAAUAUUGGUCAAUGGGCGCAAGCCUGAACCAGCCAAGUCGCGUGAGGGAUGACGGUCCUAUGGAUUGUAAACCUCUUUUGUCGGGGAGCAAGGCCCGCCACGUGUGGCGGGAAGGAGAGUACCCGAAGAAAAAGCAUCGACUAACUCCGUGCCAGCAGCCGCGGUAAUACGGAGGAUGCGAGCGUUAUCCGGAUUUAUUGGGUUUAAAGGGUGCGUAGGCGGGAGGUUAAGUCAGCGGUCAACUGUCGGGGCUCAACACCGGCCUGCCGUU
rnacentral:rRNA from 1 species